CUUUGAUUAGGGGAACUAAGAAAGAUUUCUCGAUGUGACACUAACUGAAGACAACAACAUAACCACUGGGAAGAUUUAUCAGGUGACAUCUAAUCAGUGCCCUUUUAUCGAGGCCUUGAGAAAAUUGUCAUUCUCAGUUGGUGCAUGGAAUCGGAAACGGUACGCAAAAGUGGAAGCGUUUGGAAGCGAGGAAGCGAGUUUAUUUUUUUAAACUAAGAAGCAGGU